GCCGGAGCGCCGUGACAGACCGGCCGGGGCGGGAUGGAGGGAGCCGCACGUCUCCCACUCCUGCCGCUAAGGCAGCUCCCUCGACUCGGAGCUCCAUACAGAUGUACGAGAGCCACCAAAGCCCUGAGAGGAUUCUGCAGCACUGCACCUGCUGUCCCUGAUGGGUAAAUUCAGAACAAUAUUUCAACAAAAGAUUAAUUUUGCCUCUGCGGGGAUGGAUAAAGAAAUUGAAGAACUGACUCCAAAUGUAAAUUCCUAUGCUUCCAUCUCUUUCUGAGAACCCUCUAGAUUAGCAGGCACGUUAUGAAAAGCACAAUGACAGAUUCCUUUUGUGCAGUGACUUCUCUUCAGAUCCCACAAAUAAGCACCAAAAAAAUUCUCAACUAAUAUGGAAUUUCAGCUCAGAUGGUCACAAAUUAACCAGAAAAGGGUGUACGUUCGUUUAAACAAAUUACACGCAUUUUCCAUUUUUGGUCUAUAGCAUAAAAAAAUUAGUUAAUUUUAAAUGCAAAACUUUGUACAGCAUGCAAAUCAUGUCUGUAUGUCAAAGUAAAAUAACAAACCUAAUGAGGAAUGUUAAAAAAGUAAGACCCAUUAGUUUAAAGAUACAUGGAAGCAGCCAAAGAUGACAAACAUGCAUAAAAUUCAAAACAUGAUGGAAAAGGGAACAAGCACUGAACCACAUAAAUCAGUGUUUUGAAUUCUAUUUCUCUGUGGGUAUAAUUGUACCUUAGUUUCUUAUAAUGAUUUAUUGAGGUAAAUAGUCUGUAUGGUUUAACAGCUACAGCUUCAAAGUGUCAGGCACAGACUCUCCUUUAUUCAUGAGGCAGCUGAGUAUUGGGAUGUGAAUCAGCUUCUGUAUUCUGGGACUUGGCAAAGUUUGUUUUUAAGGUCCUUAUAAAGGAUUCAUGUUGAUGCAGCCAUUCAAAUGUGAAAAACACUGAUGAAAUAGGAAAGCUUUACAGUAAUUCUGGGGGAAAAAAGUAAAAACACUGAAAUAAACCAUUCAGAAUUACCUUCAGCAAAAGAAAGGAACAUCCAGAGUUAAUUUUAAUACAGUCUAUCGUUUUGGGAAACACAGAAAGAAACUAAUUUCUUGAUGAAGUACAAAAGUGUGAUGGGAUUUCAGAAUUUACUUUUAAGUUGAAAUAAAAUAAAGUACAAAAGAAGAAAUGGUA